rnacentral:lncRNA from 1 species
CUCGAGCAAUGCAUGAAUUAAGAUGUCUGAUGUUUUGCUUCUGUCCUCAUUAGCGGGAACAGCUGUUGGCAGGAGUGGAGGAAUUCUAACUCCAGGCUGAAGGAAAACAAAAAGCCUGGGGGGGGGCACAGCACAGCACAUAGGAGGAAUCUGGGGGUUUUGUGGGAUGCUUCCAUGUCUUCCCCAUUGCACCUGGCUCCUACAGCUAUGGAAGCUGCGUGGGCUGGAAGAAGUAAUAAGAAAUGAACAGCAGAGCUGCCCUACAUGGGUCAGCCCCAAGGGGGACAAAAGCAGUCCCAGUGACAGCCCUGAUCCCAACCCCAAAAAGAAAUAGCCCUGUGUGUGGAGGACAGUGCACCAGACACGAUAUUCCCAUAAAGGAGGAGAGGACACCCGGCCGCGCUCCGUCAUUCCGAGCCGCGAACAUACAACAAAAUCACCCUCAUCACAAGAGGGGAAUAUAUAUAUAUAUUAUUUUUUUUCCCUUUUUUUUUUUUUUUUCUUCUUUUUUCUUAUAUUUUCUUUUUUUUUUUUUUUUUGCAUCUCAUGCGAAAUAGUUAAAAAUUAAAAAUUAAAAAGAAGAGAAAAGAAAAACCCCACAAGAGCCCGACGGAGCCCUGCGUUUUGGCACUCCGGGUUACAGCAGUUCUCGUCGGCGUUGA